GACGAACGCUGGCGGCGUGCUUAACACAUGCAAGUCGAACGGAAAGGCUCCAGCUUGCUGGCGUACUCGAGUGGCGAACGGGUGAGUAACACGUGGGUAAUCUGCCCUGCACUCUGGGAUAAGCCUGGGAAACUGGGUCUAAUACUGGAUAUGACCUUUCUCCUUAUGGGGUGUGGUGGAAAGUUUUUCGGUGUAGGAUGGGCCCGCGGCCUAUCAGCUUGUUGGUGGGGUGAUGGCCUACCAAGGCGACGACGGGUAGCCGGCCUGAGAGGGUGAUCGGCCACAUUGGGACUGAGAUACGGCCCAGACUCCUACGGGAGGCAGCAGUGGGGAAUAUUGCACAAUGGGCGGAAGCCUGAUGCAGCGACGCCGCGUGAGGGAUGACGGCCUUCGGGUUGUAAACCUCUUUCAGCAGGGACGAAGCGUAAGUGACGGUACCUGCAGAAGAAGCACCGGCUAACUAGGUG
rnacentral:rRNA from 1 species